GGUCACGUGUUCUCUCUGGGCUCCACCCUGUCUGCAGCGCUGGAUUAUGUGACAGAUGUGGAUCUGCAGCUGGAGCUCAGUGAGGAGAGCAGAGCUUUACUGAGGCAGAUGCAGAAAGACACACCUGAGGAGAGACCCACACUACAGGUUCUUCACUCUGAGGCCAGGGCUUUACUCGGAGAUGUUUCCUCCACAACCGUCUGUCGAAAGCUGUCUGCUAUUGGACGAAGAGUUUUGUCCAUCGAGUCUGUCGCUGCUUUCCAAGAUGGACCGGAUAAAUGGAGUGUGCAGUUCAUGGACUAUAAAGCGUCUCGAUCAAACUCAGUGGAGACUCACAGCAGCGAGCGCAGACUGCAGAGAAACCCGUCCUCUGAGUGGUGUGAGUGUGAGGAUCUGCUGCUGCGCCGCCGGGCUCUGCUCUGGAGGCCUGGAGGGUCGGUGUGUGUGCGAGAGGACGAGUCGUCGCCUGACAGCAGCAGGUCUCAGAACAGCUCUCCGGUGCACAGAAAGAGUCAGGAGAAGAGGCCGGGACGAGCCCUGAACCGCUCCUGCUCCGUGCCGGACUCUAACAACCCUCCGGCGCCCGGUGCUCCGACACACACACACAUCAGCAUGCUGGUGGCAGACCUGUCCGAGAUCAGCGCUGAGGAGCAAGGAUGGAGACUCGACACACACACACACAGAGACGGCGUCAGGUAGGGCUGUGUGAUGGGCAGGGGGCGAGACAGAAUCUGUUUGUUUGUUUUUACUUUAAUGUCCGGCUGACUGGAAACAUGUCUUUAGGUCUACCAUUGCUUUAAAUGAACAUUUAUGCAGCCGGCUGCUUUAGCAAAACCUACUUGUGCUAGAUAGGUCACUGGCCAAGGACUACCCAACCAUCUGGAGGAGCAUGUGACCCAAUGGGUCAAACAUUAUAUCCUGAAGGCGGUGGUGUGGAUCAGGAUGAUAAUGCACCAAUACACACAGCAAGACUGGAGACAGAGCGGUUUGAUGAACAUGAAAGUGAAGUUGAACAUUUCCCAUGGCCUACACAGUCACCAGAACUAAACAUUAUUGAGCACUUUGGGGUGUUUUAGGAGG
rnacentral:lncRNA from 1 species